UACGGGGGGGGCAAGCGUUGUUCGGAAUUACUGGGCGUAAAGGGCUCGUAGGCGGCCAACUAAGUCGAACGUGAAAUCCCUGGGCUCAACCCAGGAACUGCGUCCGAUACUGGCAGGCUUGAAUCCGGGAGAGGGAUGUGGAAUUCCAGGUGUAGCGGUGAAAUGCGUAGAUAUCUGGAGGAACACCGGUGGCGAAGGCGGCAUCCUGGACCGGUAUUGACGCUGAUGCGCGAAAGCCAGGGGAGCAAACGGG
rnacentral:rRNA from 1 species